AUGGCCGACGCCGCCGACCAAAACCCUAAGGACGCCGGGAACCGCGUGCCCGAGCCAUGGGCUGGCGCCGAUGGAGAAAUCGCCGAUGAGGAGUACGAGUACGAGGAGGAGGAGGAGCUGGACGAGCGGGCGGCCGCGGCCCUCGAGCGGGAGAAGGUGCAGUCCGUGUUCCGGAGGCUCUCCUCGGACCUGGUGGGGAUCCGCGUCCACGACGUCAUCAUCAGGGGCAACGCCAAGACGCGUGAGGAGCUCAUCGAGGCGGAGGUUGCCGACCUCCUCCGCUCCGCCACCACCGUGCAGGACCUGCUGAGCGCCGCGGCCGAUGCCAGCGCGCGGCUCCGCGGGCUCGACGUGUUCGAGGCCGUCAACAUCACGCUCGAUGCCGGCCCGCCCGAACUGCCCGGCACCACCAACGUCGUCAUUGAGGUCGUCGAGCCCGCCAUCCCCAUCAGCGGCAACGCUGGCGUCUUCUCCAAGCCGGAGGCAAAAGCAUGGUCACUGGAAGGGGCUGUUAAGUGGAAGAAUUUGGCUGGCUAUGCAGACAUCUGGGAUGCUUCAGUUGCAUAUGGUUGGGACCAAACAACAGAGGUUGGUGUAGGAGUCUCGCUGCCAAGAUUUAAAUCAAUACCAACACCCUUGAUGGCUCGGGCUUCAUUGUUGUCACAAGAUUGGAUGAAGUUCUCAUCAUACAAGGAGCGUCUACUUGGUCUUUCAUUUGGUUUGCUUUCAACCAGGCACCACGAUUUAUCUUACAAUCUUACAUGGCGUACCUUGACUGAUCCGUCACGCCUCGCGUCAACGUCCAUCAGAAGGCAGUUAGGGCAUAACCUUCUAUCUGCAUUGAAAUACACAUACAAGAUUGAUCAAAGGGAUUCACAUAUCAGGCCAACAAAAGGAUAUGCAUUUCUCUCAUCCUCUCAAGUUGGUGGUCUUUGGGAUAACAAAGGAUUGAAUUUUUUUCGCCAGGAGUUUGAUGCUCGUGCUGCCGUGCCUUUUGGAUUCUGGAACGCUGCUCUCAAUGUUGGUGUAGGAGCUGGUGUUGUUUUACCACUGGCAAGAGGAUUUAUGAAUUCGUCUACACCUGUUACUGAUAGAUUUAACCUGGGAGGUCACUCUUCUCCAGUUUGCAGCCUGGGUGGAAUAUCAUCCUUGCUCGGUUUCAGAACAAGAGGGGUUGGCCCGACAGAAGCACGGAGGCUUGUCCCCGGCGCGUCAGAAGAUGGUUCUGCUGCUGUUCCAGGGAGGGAUUACUUGGGCGGCGAUCUCGCUGUUUCUGCCUUUGCGGACCUUUCCUUUGAUCUGCCUCUGAAGGUGUUUAGAGAUGCUGGAAUACAUGGUCAUGCGUUUCUCACUGCUGGGAAUCUUGUGAAACUGUCGGAGGGCCAGUACAAAAACUUGUCGCUUGAUGAAUUCCGCCGUUCGUUUAGGAGUAGUGCUGGCGUCGGCAUUAUUUUGCCGACUAAACUAUUCCGGGUCGAGGUGAACUACUGCUACAUUCUGAAGCAAUCUCAGCACGACAGUGGAAAGACGGGAAUUCAGUUCAGCUUCUCCUCGCCCUCGUAG
rnacentral:rRNA from 1 species